rnacentral:other from 1 species
AUAACCCUACGAGGUACGUGUCACUUGAGUUUUAUUUAGAACCAACAUUCUAAAGAAAGGGAGUCUGAACUCUUGAUAUGGUGUGCAAGCUCAACCAAUUCGUUUGAGAAGCCCGUAAGUAUUAAGGAGGACACCCACCUGUGCAAGCAGGCUCUUAAAUUCGCUCAUAUGGACGGCUUAUGUGGGGUUUUA